rnacentral:lncRNA from 1 species
UUAUAUAGAUAAAUAUUGGAUUAAACUAUCCAAUCAUAUAUAACUAAAAUUAAAAUUUUAUAUGAAUAAUAAUUUUUUACUUUAAAAAUAUUUUGUAUAUUUUCUCAAGCAUACAAAAUUAAUAGUAAGGUAGGCAACGGCGGGUAUAUGCUGUUACUUGGUAACUUGGAGGACUUUCGGCUUGGCCACUUAGGAUGAGAAACAGAAAAAGAGAAAGAGAGAAACAUAUUGAAAAUUUAAAGCUCUGUGAAAGAAAGAAAGAAAGGAAAAAUAUAUAAAUUUAGUAAAAUUUUGUUCUUUUAUUUGUCUAUUGGGUUUGUUUUUAUGGGCCAACAACAUUGGCCCAAUUUUAACUAAACUCAGAUUAUUCACUCAGCUUAU